CUAGCUGAUGCCUUUGUAGAGAGGGGAAGUGGCUCUCUUGUAGCCUACACCAUGUAGCUAUUCUGGACAGCAAGAAACGAAUGGUUGUUUCAAGCUAUUAUGUUUAUAUAGACUUUUGCAGCUAGUAAGAAAAGCGUUAUGUUUUCUUGCUGACCUAAAUCUAAUUAACGAUCGACCAAGUUGGCCUCAACACACAGUCAAUG
rnacentral:lncRNA from 1 species